rnacentral:sRNA from 1 species
GACCAAUGAGUAACCGUCGUUGUGCUGGCGGUUUUACCUGCAACUUCAACCACAUCUUUCCCCAUUUUUUAAUUCAUGGCUACAUUCCGCUGGAACACUUCUAUAAAUUGACCACUUUUUAGAUGCUUCAUCCAAAAACAAAGCAUAAAAUCAAAUUGAGCAUAAGUUUGACCUGUGCUUCACUCUCAAUGGCACCACGUAUUGUGAGAGUGGACACGCGACACGACGCAAGAGUGCAUUUGAUGGUGCACACUAAAUUUGAGCCACCGUCUAGUAACGACUGAUGAAUGAAAGAUAGGAUGAAGGAGACAAAGUAUUCGUGCUCGUGCUCGUGCUUGUGCUCGAGCUCGUACUCGCAGUUGACACGCUUGUCACUGCUUGGAUUUUGUCGCUCCGGGCAAGCGGUGACGGAGCUCAUAGAGCUCACGCAUAUCGGGUUUCUGCUUUGCAUUAUCGGAUGUAUGAGG